GAUGAACGCUGGCGGCGUGCCUAAUACAUGCAAGUCGAGCGAACGGACGAGAAGCUUGCUUUUCUGAUGUUAGCGGCGGACGGGUGAGUAACACGUGGAUACCCUACCUAUAAGACUGGGAUAACUUCGGGAAACCGGAGCUCAUACCGGAUCAUAUUUUGAACCGCAUGGUUCAAAAGUGAAAGCGCGUCUUGCUGUCACUUAUAGAUGUAUCCGCGCUGCAUUAGCUAGUUGGUAAGGUAACGGCUUACCAAGGCAACGAUGCAUAGCCGACCUGAGAGGGUGAUCGGCCACACUGGAACUGAGACACGGUCCAGACUCCUACGGGAGGCAGCAGUAGGGAAUCUUGCGCAAUGGGCGAAAGCCUGACGGAGCAACGCCGCGUGAGUGAUGAAGGUCUUCGGAUCGUAAAACUCUGUUAUUAGGGAAGAACAUAUGUGUAAGUAACUGUGCACAUCUUGACGGUACCUAAUCAGAAAGCCACGGCUAACUACGUG
rnacentral:rRNA from 1 species